rnacentral:rRNA from 1 species
AGGGUUCGAGUUCUGGCUCAAGAACGAACGCUGGCGGCGAUGGAUUAGGCAUGCAAGUCGAACGCAAACAGCAAUGUUGAGUGGCGCAAGGGUGAGGAACCACGUGAGUAAUCGUGCCCUCGAGUUAGGGGAAUAGCUCCGGGAAACUGGAAUUAAUACCGAAUGAAACUGCAAUACCGCAGUGGUACUGCAUUGAAAGCAGCAAUGCGCUUGAGGAGGAGCUCGCGUCCAUUAGCUGGUUGGUGAGGUAACGGCCACCAAGGCGAUGAUGGGUAGCUGGUCUGAGAGGACGAUCAGCCACAGUGGGACUGAGAACUGCCCACACUCCUACGGGAGGCUGCAGUCGAGAAUUUUGGGCAAUGGGCGAAAGCCUGAACCCCCAGCAAUGCCGCGUGCGGGAUGAAGGUCUUCGGAUUGUAAACCGCUGUCAAGAGGGACGAAAAAUGGCGGUACCUCUGAAGGAAGUCACGGCUAACUACGUGCCAGCAGCCGC